AUUGAACGCUGGCGGCAGGCCUAACACAUGCAAGUCGAACGAGUGGCGGACGGGUGAGUAAUGUCUGGGAAACUGCCUGAUGGAGGGGGAUAACUACUGGAAACGGUAGCUACUACCGCAUACCAUCAGAUGUGCCCAGAUGGGAUUAGCUUGUUGGUGGGGUAACGGCUCACCAAGGCGACGAGCGUUAGCUGGUCUGAGAGGAUGACCGGCCACACGGGAACGGAGACACGGUCCAGAAUCCUACGGGAGGAAGCAGGGGGGAAUAUUGCACAAUGGGCGCAAGCCUGAUGCAGCCAUGCGGCGUGUAUGAAGAAGGCCUUCGGGUUGUAAAGUACGUUCAGCGGGGAGGCGUUACCCGCAGAAGAAGCACCGGCUAACUCCGUGCCAGCCGCCGCGGUAAUUC
rnacentral:rRNA from 1 species